UACAGAGGUCUCAAGCGUUGUUCGGAUUCAUUGGGCGUAAAGGGUGUGUAGGUGGCGCCGUUAGUCGGGUGUGAAAUUUCGGAGCUUAACUCCGAAACUGCAUUCGAUACUGCGGUGCUUGAGGACUGGAGAGGAGACUGGAAUUCAUGGUGUAGCAGUGAAAUGCGUAGAGAUCAUGAGGAAGACCAGUGGCGAAGGCGGGUCACUGGCCCGGUACUGACGCUGAGGUGCGAAAGCGUGGGGAGCAAACAGG
rnacentral:rRNA from 1 species